AGGUUCUGCCCUAUGAAUUUAUUAAAUGGCUGCAGUAUAUUGACUGUACAAAGGUAGCAUAAUAAUUAGUCUUUUAAUUAAAGACUGGUAUGAAGGAAUUAAUGAGAAAUUUAUUUUCUUAAUUAUUUAAAAUUAAUUUUAGUUUUAGGUAAAAAAGCCUAUUUAUAUAUUUGGGACGAAAAGACCCUAUAGAACUUUAUUUAAUUAUUUAUAAAUAUAUUUAUAAAUUUAUUUUUGGUUGGGGUGACAAGUAAAUUCGACUUUACUUUAUUAUUUCAUGUAUAUAUGAUUAUAUUGAUUUAAUUAUAAAUUUAAGUUAUAGUUACCUUAGGGAUAACAGCGUAAUUUUAAUGAAGAGUUCAUAUCUAUAUUAAAGUUUGCGACCUCGAUGUUGAAUUAAGAUAAGUUUAUGGAGCAUAAUUUAUAAAACUAGGUC
rnacentral:rRNA from 1 species